rnacentral:rRNA from 1 species
CCUACGGGAGGCAGCAGUGAGGAAUAUUGGACAAUGGGCGCAACCCUGAUCCAGCCAUUCCGCGUGAGUGAAGAAGGCCUUCGGGUUGUAAAGCUCUUUCAGCAGGAACGAAACGGUGGCCCCUAAUACGGGUUACUAAUGACGGUACCUGAAGAAGAAGCACCGGCUAACUACGUGCCAGCAGCCGCGGUAAUACGUAGGGUGCGAGCGUUAAUCGGAAUUACUGGGCGUAAAGCGUGCGCAGGCGGUUAUGUAGGACAGGUGUGAAAUCCCCGGGCUUAACCUGGGAACUGCGCUUGUGACUGCAUAACUUGAGUGUGGCAGAGGGGGGUGGAAUUCCACGUGUAGCAGUGAAAUGCGUAGAGAUGUGGAGGAACACCGAUGGCGAAGGCAGCCCCCUGGGUCAACACUGACGCUCAUGCACGAAAGCGUGGGGAGCAAACAGGAUUAGAUACCCUGGUAGUCCACGCCCUAAACGAUGCGAACUAGGUGUUGGGGAAGGAGACUUUCUUAGUACCGCAGCUAACGCGUGAAGUUCGCCGCCUGGGGAGUACGGUCGCAAGAUUAAAACUCAAAGGAAUUGACGG